rnacentral:rRNA from 1 species
UGGGGAAUCUUGGACAAUGGGGGCAACCCUGAUCCAGCCAUGCCGCGUGAGUGAUGAAGGCCUUAGGGUCGUAAAGCUCUUUCGCCUGUGAAGAUAAUGACGGUAGCAGGUAAAGAAACCCCGGCUAACUCCGUGCCAGCAGCCGCGGUAAUACGGAGGGGGUUAGCGUUGUUCGGAAUUACUGGGCGUAAAGCGCACGUAGGCGGACCAGAAAGUUGGGGGUGAAAUCCCGGGGGCUCAACCCCGGAACUGCCUCCAAAACUAUUGGUCUAGAGUUCGAGAGAGGUGAGUGGAAUUCCAAGUGUAGAGGUGAAAUUCGUAGAUAUUUGGAGGAACACCAGUGGCGAAGGCGGCUCACUGGCUCGAUACUGACGCUGAGGUGCGAAAGUGUGGGGAGCAAACAGGAUUAGAUACCCUGGUAGU